GGUUAAGCGACUAAGCGUACACGGUGGAUGCCCUGGCAGUCAGAGGCGAUGAAGGACGUGCUAAUCUGCGAAAAGCGUCGGUAAGGUGAUAUGAACCGUUAUAACCGGCGAUGUCCGAAUGGGGAAACCCAGUGCAAUUCGUUGCACUAUCGUUAACUGAAUACAUAGGUUAACGAGGCGAACCGGGGGAACUGAAACAUCUAAGUACCCCGAGGAAAAGAAAUCAACCGAGAUUCCCCCAGUAGCGGCGAGCGAACGGGGAGCAGCCCAGAGUCUGAAUCAGCUUGUGUGUUAGUGGAACGGUCUGGAAAGUCCGACGGUACAGGGUGAUAGUCCCGUACACCAAAAUGCACAGGCUGUGAACUCGAAGAGUAGGGCGGGACACGUGGUAUCCUGUCUGAAUAUGGGGGGACCAUCCUCCAAGGCUAAAUACUCCUGACUGACCGAUAGUGAACCAGUACCGUGAGGGAAAGGCGAAAAGAACCCCGGCGAGGGGAGUGAAAAAGAACCUGAAACCGUGUACGUACAAGCAGUGGGAGCACCUUCGGGUGUGACUGCGUACCUUUUGUAUAAUGGGUCAGCGACUUAUAUUCUGUAGCAAGGUUAACCGUAUAGGGGAGCCGCAGGGAAACCGAGUCUUAACUGGGCGUUAAGUUGCAGGGUAUAGACCCGAAACCCGGUGAUCUAGCCAUGGGCAGGUUGAAGGUUGGGUAACACUAACUGGAGGACCGAACCGACUAAUGUUGAAAAAUUAGCGGAUGACUUGUGGCUGGGGGUGAAAGGCCAAUCAAACCGGGAGAUAGCUGGUUCUCCCCGAAAGCUAUUUAGGUAGCGCCUCGUGAAUUCAUCUUCGGGGGUAGAGCACUGUUUCGGCUAGGGGGUCAUCCCGACUUACCAACCCGAUGCAAACUACGAAUACCGAAGAAUGUUAUCACGGGAGACACACGGCGGGUGCUAACGUCCGUCGUGAAGAGGGAAACAACCCAGACCGCCAGCUAAGGUCCCAAAGUCAUGGUUAAGUGGGAAACGAUGUGGGAAGGCACAGACAGCCAGGAUGUUGGCUUAGAAGCAGCCAUCAUUUAAAGAAAGCGUAAUAGCUCACUGGUCGAGUCGGCCUGCGCGGAAGAUGUAACGGGGCUAAACCAUGCACCGAAGCUGCGGCAGCGACACUAUGUGUUGUUGGGUAGGGGAGCGUUCUGUAAGCCUGCGAAGGUGUGCUGUGAGGCAUGCUGGAGGUAUCAGAAGUGCGAAUGCUGACAUAAGUAACGAUAAAGCGGGUGAAAAGCCCGCUCGCCGGAAGACCAAGGGUUCCUGUCCAACGUUAAUCGGGGCAGGGUGAGUCGACCCCUAAGGCGAGGCCGAAAGGCGUAGUCGAUGGGAAACAGGUUAAUAUUCCUGUACUUGGUGUUACUGCGAAGGGGGGACGGAGAAGGCUAUGUUAGCCGGGCGACGGUUGUCCCGGUUUAAGCAUGUAGGCUGGUUGUCCAGGCAAAUCCGGAUAAUCAAGGCUGAGGUGUGAUGACGAGGCACUACGGUGCUGAAGUAACAAAUGCCCUGCUUCCAGGAAAAGCCUCUAAGCAUCAGGUAACAUUAAAUCGUACCCCAAACCGACACAGGUGGUCAGGUAGAGAAUACCAAGGCGCUUGAGAGAACUCGGGUGAAGGAACUAGGCAAAAUGGUGCCGUAACUUCGGGAGAAGGCACGCUGGUGUGUAGGUGAAGUCCCUGCGGAUGGAGCUGAGACCAGUCGAAGAUACCAGCUGGCUGCAACUGUUUAUUAAAAACACAGCACUGUGCAAACACGAAAGUGGACGUAUACGGUGUGACGCCUGCCCGGUGCCGGAAGGUUAAUUGAUGGGGUUAUCCGUAAGGAGAAGCUCUUGAUCGAAGCCCCGGUAAACGGCGGCCGUAACUAUAACGGUCCUAAGGUAGCGAAAUUCCUUGUCGGGUAAGUUCCGACCUGCACGAAUGGCGUAAUGAUGGCCAGGCUGUCUCCACCCGAGACUCAGUGAAAUUGAACUCGCUGUGAAGAUGCAGUGUACCCGCGGCAAGACGGAAAGACCCCGUGAACCUUUACUAUAGCUUGACACUGAACAUUGAGCCUUGAUGUGUAGGAUAGGUGGGAGGCUUUGAAGCGUGGACGCCAGUCUGCGUGGAGCCAACCUUGAAAUACCACCCUUUAAUGUUUGAUGUUCUAACGUUGGCCCCUUACCGGGGUUGCGGACAGUGUCUGGUGGGUAGUUUGACUGGGGCGGUCUCCUCCCAAAGCGUAACGGAGGAGCACGAAGGUUAGCUAAUCCUGGUCGGACAUCAGGAGGUUAGUGCAAUGGCAUAAGCUAGCUUGACUGCGAGCGUGACGGCGCGAGCAGGUGCGAAAGCAGGUCAUAGUGAUCCGGUGGUUCUGAAUGGAAGGGCCAUCGCUCAACGGAUAAAAGGUACUCCGGGGAUAACAGGCUGAUACCGCCCAAGAGUUCAUAUCGACGGCGGUGUUUGGCACCUCGAUGUCGGCUCAUCACAUCCUGGGGCUGAAGUAGGUCCCAAGGGUAUGGCUGUUCGCCAUUUAAAGUGGUACGCGAGCUGGGUUUAGAACGUCGUGAGACAGUUCGGUCCCUAUCUGCCGUGGGCGCUGGAGAAUUGAGGGGGGCUGCUCCUAGUACGAGAGGACCGGAGUGGACGCAUCACUGGUGUUCGGGUUGUCAUGCCAAUGGCACUGCCCGGUAGCUAAAUGCGGAAGAGAUAAGUGCUGAAAGCAUCUAAGCACGAAACUUGCCCCGAGAUGAGUUCUCCCUGAGACUAUAAGUCUCCUGAAGGAACGUUAAAGACGAUGACGUUGAUAGGCCGGGUGUGUAAGCGCAGCGAUGCGUUGAGCUAACCGGUACUAAUGAACCGUGAGGCUUAACCUU
rnacentral:rRNA from 1 species